AUUAGAUACCCUGGUAGUCCACGCCGUAAACGGUGGGUGCUAGUUGUGGGCCACAUUCCACGUGGUCCGUGACGAAGUUAACACAUUAAGCACCCCGCCUGGGGAGUACGGUCGCAAGACUAAAACUCAAAGGAAUUGACGGGGGCCCGCACAAGCGGCGGAGCAUGCGGAUUAAUUCGAUGCAACGCGAAGAACCUUACCAAGGCUUGACAUAUAGAGGAAACGUGCAGAAAUGUACGCCCCGCAAGGUCUCUAUACAGGUGGUGCAUGGUUGUCGUCAGCUCGUGUCGUGAGAUGUUGGGUUAAGUCCCGCAACGAGCGCAACCCUCGUCCUAUGUUGCCAGCACGUAAUGGUGGGAACUCAUGGGAGACUGCCGGGGUCAACUCGGAGGAAGGUGGGGAUGACGUCAA
rnacentral:rRNA from 1 species